CUCUGUACUGCUAGGCAGAGAUGGUCCUUGGGACAGUCCUGCUUCCACCGAAUGGUUACGGCAGAGACCGCGAUGGGGCGCUGUGCUGCAUGGGUGGUGUGGCCUCAGGCUCCUCUCUGCCUGACAGCGUGACAGAUCACUUUGCCAGCUGUGUGGAGGAUGGAUUUGAGGGAGACAAGACUGGAGGCAGUAGUCCAGAAGCCUUGCACCGACCCUAUGGCUGUGAUGUUGAACCCCAGGCGCUAAACGAAGCCAUCAGGUGGAGCUCCAAAGAGAACCUGCUGGGAGCCACUGAGAGUGACCCUAAUCUCUUCGUUGCACUUUAUGAUUUCGUAGCAAGUGGUGAUAACACACUCAGCAUCACUAAAGGAGAAAAGCUACGAGUCCUUGGUUACAACCAGAAUGGGGAAUGGAGUGAAGUGCGCUCUAAGAACGGACAGGGCUGGGUGCCGAGCAACUACAUCACCCCAGUGAACAGCCUGGAGAAGCAUUCCUGGUACCAUGGCCCUGUGUCACGCAGUGCGGCCGAGUAUCUCCUCAGCAGCCUGAUCAACGGCAGCUUCCUGGUGCGAGAGAGCGAGAGCAGCCCUGGGCAGCUGUCCAUCUCGCUCAGGUACGAGGGACGCGUGUAUCACUACAGGAUCAACACCACCACCGAUGGCAAGGUGUACGUGACUGCUGAGAGCCGCUUUAGCACCUUGGCAGAGCUUGUUCACCAUCACUCCACAGUGGCUGAUGGGUUGGUGACAACAUUGCACUACCCAGCACCCAAGUGUAAUAAGCCCACAGUCUACGGCGUGUCCCCCAUCCAUGACAAAUGGGAAAUGGAACGAACAGAUAUUACCAUGAAGCACAAACUCGGGGGUGGUCAGUACGGAGAGGUUUACGUUGGUGUCUGGAAGAAAUACAGCCUAACAGUUGCCGUGAAAACAUUGAAGGAAGAUACCAUGGAGGUGGAGGAGUUCCUGAAGGAAGCCGCCGUGAUGAAGGAGAUCAAGCACCCUAACCUGGUACAGCUGUUAGGUGUGUGUACUUUGGAGCCGCCAUUUUACAUUGUGACGGAAUACAUGCCAUACGGAAAUCUGCUGGAUUAUCUCCGAGAAUGCAACCGAGAAGAGGUGACUGCUGUCGUGCUGCUGUACAUGGCCACUCAGAUCUCUUCUGCAAUGGAGUACCUGGAGAAGAAGAACUUCAUCCAUAGAGAUCUUGCAGCUCGGAACUGCCUAGUGGGAGAAAAUCACGUGGUUAAAGUGGCUGACUUUGGCUUAAGUAGGUUGAUGACUGGAGACACCUAUACUGCUCACGCCGGAGCCAAGUUCCCUAUUAAGUGGACAGCCCCAGAGAGUCUGGCCUACAACACCUUCUCGAUUAAAUCUGACGUCUGGGCCUUUGGGGUACUGUUGUGGGAAAUCGCCACGUACGGAAUGUCGCCGUAUCCGGGUAUUGACUUGUCUCAGGUCUACGAUCUACUGGAAAAAGGGUAUCGAAUGGAACAGCCAGAGGGAUGCCCCCCGAAGGUUUAUGAACUGAUGAGAGCAUGCUGGAAGUGGAGCCCUGCUGAUAGGCCCUCUUUUGCCGAAACACAUCAAGCUUUUGAAACCAUGUUCCAUGACUCUAGCAUUUCUGAAGAAGUAGCUGAGGAGCUUGGAAGAGCCGCUUCCUCCUCAUCUGUUGUUCCAUACCUGCCCCGAUUACCUGUACUUCCUUCCAAGACUCGGACGCUGAAGAAACAGGUGGAGAACAAGGAGAACAUUGAAGGAGCACAAGAUGCCACAGAAAAUUCUGCCUCCAGUUCAGCACCAGGCUUCAUUAGAAGUGCCCAGGCCUCCAGUGGGUCUCCAGCGCUGCCUCGAAAACAAAGAGACAAGUCACCCAGCAGCCUCUUGGAAGAUGCCAAAGAGACAUGCUUCACCAGGGACCGGAAGGGAGGCUUCUUUAGCUCCUUCAUGAAAAAGAGAAACGCUCCCACCCCCCCUAAACGGAGUAGCUCCUUCCGAGAAAUGGAGAAUCAGCCCCACAAAAAAUACGAACUCACGGGUAACUUCUCAUCCGUUGCUUCUCUGCAGCAGGCCGAUGGGUUCUCUUUCACUCCUGCCCAGCAAGAGGCGAAUCUAGUGCCACCCAAGUGCUAUGGGGGGAGCUUUGCACAGAGGAACCUCUGUAAUGACGAUGGCGGUGGGGGAGGGGGCAGCAGCCCUGCUGGAGGUGGGUGGUCCGGCAUCACAGGCUUCUUCACGCCACGCUUAAUCAAGAAGACCCUGGGCUUGCGGGCAGGGAAGCCCACAGCCAGCGAUGACACCUCCAAGCCUUUUCCAAGGUCAAACUCUACAUCUUCCAUGUCCUCAGGGCUUCCAGAGCAGGAUAGGAUGGCAAUGACCCUUCCCAGGAACUGCCAGAGGGCCAAACUCCAGGUAGAAAGGACAGUGUCCACCUCUUCUCAGCCAGAAGAGAGUGUGGACAGGGCCAAUGACACACUGCCCAAAAAGUCAGAGGAAGGUGCUGCUCCAACCAGAGAGAGACCAAAAGCCAAGCUGUUGCCCAGAGGAACCACAGCUCUCCCUCUCAGAGCUGCCUCUGGGGACCCAGCCGUCACAGAAAAGGACUCUGCUGGGCUGGGGGUGGCUGGAGUGGCAGCUGCCCCCAAGAACAAAGAGAGGAAUGGCGGGGCCCGACUUGGGAUGCCUGGAGUCCCAGAGGAUGGAGAACAGCCAGGCUGGUCUUCCCCAGCCAAGGCCACACCCGUCCUUCCGACCACUCACAACCACAAAGUGCCAGUCCUUAUCUCGCCCACCCUGAAACACACUCCAGCUGAUGUGCAGCUCAUUGGCACAGACUCUCAGGGGAACAAAUUCAAGCUCUUAUCGGAGCAUCAGGUCACAUCCUCUGGAGACAAGGACCGACCCCGACGGGUAAAACCAAAGUGUGCCCCGCCCCCCCCACCAGUGAUGAGACUACUGCAGCACUCGGCUGUGGGCUCCGAACCCACGGAGGAGCCGCCUGCCCCGGCCACAGGACAGCCCCCACCAGAAACGCAGGAAGGAGGGAGAAAGGCAGCUCCAGGAGUGGUGCCCAGUGGUGGGAAAGCUGGGAGGCCAGCGGCACCCCCACCUCAAGUGCCUCCGCCCACAUCCUCCAUCUCGCCAGCUCGGAUGGCCAACGGCACCGCAGGUACUAAAGUGGCUCUGAGGAAGACCAAACAGGCGGCCGAGAAGAUCUCAGCAGACAAAAUCAGCAAGGAGGCCCUGCUGGAAUGUGCUGACCUACUGUCCAGUGCGAUCACAGAGCCCGUGCCCAACAGCCAGCUGGUGGACACCGGGCACCAGCUGCUCGACUACUGCUCAGGCUACGUGGACUGCAUCCCUCAGACUCGCAACAAGUUUGCCUUCCGAGAGGCCGUGAGCAAACUGGAACUCAGCCUGCAAGAGCUGCAGGUGUCUUCAGCGGUCACCGGGGUUCCUGGGGCAAACCCCGUCCUAAACAACUUGCUGUCAUGUGUACAGGAAAUCAGCGAUGUGGUGCAGAGGUAGCCACUGUCAGCCUGGUGGCACCUGCACACAUUUCUGAGCGGAGAGGGAAUGGGACUUGUUUUCCUGUGUUCUUGUUUUAAAACAAUGAAAGACUGAUACUUGAGUGUGUUUAUGUGAAGUACCUCAGAUCCCUGAGUUCUCACGUUUACAGGUUCAUCUCGAAAAUAACAAAAGCAAACCACAAAAAUUCGGGGGAGGUAAGCGAGGUGAGGCGAGGCGGUCGUGGACAGGGUUGGAAGCAGCCGGAAGCGCAUGUGGCACAAUGAAAGGAGUACAGCCAUCCUGCCCGGGUGCGGUGCGGUGUGGUCAGGCUGCUCAGCAUGGCCGUGGGGCCGUCCUUUGUCCUGCAGCACACACGGGGCAGUUGGCCUGGGGCUCUCCGAGUGCUGGGGCUGCCCGUGCUCGGUUCACCUGACGAAUCCAGGGAGAGCAGAGGGAAGCUGGGAGUGUCCUAGCGGUUCGUUCAAGGUGGUGGGAAGCAGCUGCUAGCCUUGCUUCUGCAGUCAGCGCCGCCGUGGCGAGAACCGCACAUCAAAGUGCCAGACAGCAGGCUCGGCCACUGCCCGCCCGUGCACUCCUGCCCUGUAUUCCACUGGCGUAUGAGUCGGUGCAGGAAAUAGUGUGCUGGGGACUGGAAGUCGGGGAGAUGAACCUCCUAAAAUCUUACACUGGUUAGCAGAAGUCCCUUCUCCCAGUCUAGUAUUUUACUUCCUAACGGACCAAGCCAGCCUCCGCUUGUUGGGGGCUGGCUGUAGGCCGUAGGCCUGGGGAGGUCUCCGCAGUGGGUCUUCUGUCGCUUGCUGGCCGUCUUUAUCCUGGCAGCAUUCAGGGCAUUAACUAGCAUUGGUUUUGAAAAUAGUGGUCACUACAGGUUCUCACAGGGGACUCCUUUCCUGGUACAGAGCCCCUGCCUACACACUGGCCAGGCAGUCAAGUAGCUCUGUCUUCCUUUAUCAGCUAAAUACCAGGGAGAUGGGAGAUGGAACCCGUCCUGAGAUGGACCUCAGGCCCAGAGGUCCGUGCUUGAGAAAGCUGCCUUAGUCCUCUGGCUGUUUCCCCUCCCUCAUCACCCAAUCUAAGCAGGGAGGAAUUGGACAUGAAUUAUGCCCCAAAUUAAUAUCGCCUGCCCUUCUCAUGGUUACCCCAGCACUCCCACCACCCCCUUCCUCCACCCUGUCAUUGUGCUUGUUUGUACAGAUUAUAUUGGGAAUAUUCUUAAUUUAUUUUGUCAUUUCACCCCUAUUUAAGAGCAUAUAAGUGAAGGAGUUGGUCAUUUUCAGGGAGUAUCAGUUGGACCCAGGAAACCUAAUGAUUUAACCCUCAAAUAUGCUUAAAUAAGUCAUUUCCUUCCCUUCUUAGUUGUAAUUAUGGGAGCUAAUGAGGACCGCGUGGAACUGAAUCUACUGGGUUAAAAUACUAUUCAUGAUCUUGGUCUUGGGUCUAGUUCCAGAUACUGCUUCAUUCUUUUUUUAAAGCUUUAUGAAUACCCUCCCCACCCAAGAAAAACCCAAUCCAAUCUUUUUUUUUUUUCCUCCCAAAGGAGUGUUAGCUUAAGGAGAUAGGAGUCCAGCAUUGAACAGUGAGUACUCUCCAGGCAUCACCGACCCACCCUCAGCUCACAGCCCACCUCUUAACCUAUUCAAUGAAGGGAAUAGUAAUAGCACUUGUUCUCAAGGGUGUUCUGCAGUAAGUGUGCAGCUAUCCCUCUGAGAGUCUCUCUGGAAAGCUCUUUAGUACAGUGUUGUUAUGUUGAAUGGCUUUUCAUUCUUUUUUGCUGAGAGCAGAUAGUAAUGAAAUUCAGAACCUGCCAUGUUAAUUCGGCUGGGAUACUAAGGGGUAAACUGUGUUUUGAAUAGAGAUUGGCAUCUUUGACCGAGGAGGAAAUUUAGCUUUCAUUAGGAAGAAAGGAAACCUGAUUCUUAUCAUUGCCACUCCAGAGGAGGGCCAGGUUGAGAGAAGGAUUACAAGGGAGUUGACAGUGCUAGCCACUCAUGGCAGGUGUCGGAGGGCCCUGUCAAUAUGUCACCUACAGCUUCAGCACAGGCGACUCGUCAUCAGAGUGAAGUCCUUGUAGUGGUUGGAAGAGAACUUGGAUUUAAAAACCUACAGUCCUCCCACCUUCUUCCCUGCCGGUCCCCCCCCCCACACACACACACACAUCCAUAAACUUGAACUCAUUUAGCAGUUAGCCUGGGGGGUGGGCGGAGCUAAGACACUAGAAUAUGAUUAUGCUGCUUUUUAAGUUUAUCCCUGUCAUUGUGGGAUGCAAGUUAAAGGAUUGUCAUUGUUUUUCAGGGGAUUUUUUUUUUUUUUUUUUUAAGUAAAGGCUCUAUUUUUCCUUGGGAGUUCUGAAUUGAGCCUUGGAGAAACACUACUGAGUGUAUUUAAGCUCCUUGGUUUUCUCGCUGAAAAGCAGUCUCAAGGGUGGGAUGGGGCUGUGUCUUCCUCAGGGGCAGCACCUCACUCCGUCUUGCCUACAAUGGGUGCUCGGUAAACUCAGAAGUUGAAUUGUUUCCACACUGUCGAGAGUGGCGUUGACUGUUGUAGCUCGUUGACUGUUGUAGCUCAGCCCAUCCACCGAUGCUUGAAUUGUACAACUUCAGGGUUGAGGGCUCAGGGUUCAGGUUAAAGAGGCACUGUCAACUGACUACAAAAGUGUUAUUUAGGAUUUUCCAUUUCGUACUUGAAAAGGGUCCGCUUAAAACAUACAUACACACCAAGCUAUAUAUAAAUUAAAAAGAUUUGAAUCCAAAGCAGAACACUGCUUCUAGAAACUUUUACCUAGCCUAAAAGAAGCAGAUAGCAAGAUCAAAGAGGCGCUUGUCGAAGGUGUUGACGCUUUUUGAAGGUGGUUGCAUCUGUGCACGUUCGGGUGACUGCAGCUUGAUUCCUCCCGUGUACAGGUGACAUGGUUUCAGUUUGGGGGUCCUGCUAAAAUGCAGUGGCUGUGUUGACCACACCUUGACUGUGCUUUACAUAAAGCAUUGUCUUGAAAGGCUUUAUGAAAAAGUAAAAUGUGUUUAUUUUCCUGCAGACUUCCAUCAUGAUUUUCAAGGAUAUAGCCUUAAAAAAACCCCAAACAUUUGGACUCUAAAAAGACUCAUUUGGUGUUUUUCUACUGGAUCAUCAGAAAAGUCAUGACACAUUUUUGCAUAGAAAAAUAAAUAUGUCAUGACUUUCCCGAUGACCUAAUAGAUCACCUCAGUCCAUAGAGGAGACCCUUGCCCAGCUCCAUUUUAGAGUUUAAAUUUUAUUACACUUUGAUAGAAAGUUGGCGAAGAAAAUCAUUCCCACUUAAUAGAACCUGCUGGGUUUGCUCAGGCACAGCCCUUGGUUAACUGAAGUUGGGGAGCUUCUGCGUUUACAGGCUGCAGUCUGGACAGUGGUGUAGAGUUCAGGCUCAAGCCAGUCUGGAAGACGUGUAGCUGAACCGUCUGGAGCCUCCUUUCCUUUCUGAGAAACAGGGAUAGUAAGAGUAGCUGCCUCAGGGUUGUAAGGAUUAAAUGAGAUGUUGUUUGUGAGAUCCGUAUCUCAAGUGCCUGGCAUACAGGAAGCACUCCAUAAAUGUUUACUGCUAUUAUUACUAACAUCUAGUCUGGGGAUGUACAACAAGGCCCCUUGGCUUCUUCUUGGUUCUUUUGUUCUGUUUUGUUUUGAGACUAAUGAAAUUCAUCAGAAUUCUCUGUGAGGUGGAGUCACGGCCAAUGUGUUUUCCGCAAAUCGCAAGAUGUUUCAGACGCCCAGGGCUGCCUGAACAUUAUCAAUAGCCGGACCCUUGUCUGCAUACAUUAAGCAACUAGAAGAGAGGAUGGUUAGUAGAGCCACAGCUAGAAUCCGAGUCUCCUGGUGUUCUGGUUGUGGGGUCUUUCUGUCAUACCUGCUGCCUUGUGAGAUGCUGCAGAAAUAGCGCUCAGAUAGACAAUCAGUCCACACCGUGCUGCACACUUUGGAUAAAGCACACGCCCCCGCACACCGACCAUGGGCCUGAACGUGGAGUAAUGGCAUGUCCAGCCAAGCAAGCUCUCUGUAGAACUCUUAAUUUAAAAGCGGGGUCAUUCUUUUGGACAGACCUCAGCAACAUGGCAAUCUGCACUUUGUAGUAAAGAAUACCAACCUAUUUUUUUUUUAAACUAGUCCUACAUUCCUUUUUCUUUAAAAAACAAAAAUUUAUUGUUCAGUGUCAUUUUAAUGACUAUGAAAUAACAUAUAUAAAAGCACUUUGAGGAAGCAUCAAAUGUGAUCUAACUAUAAGGUUGUAUUACUAAUGUCUGUUUAGAAGAUAAUACAGUUGGUUAGAUGCUGAUUGACCUAAAGCCUUUUACCUGUGGGGGCCUGAACAUGCAGGUGUCUGAAGAAUCACCUCUAAUUGAUCACAUUGACAAAUACAGAACUGCAAAGUGAGCACUUUGGUGUAGCAAGUGUUUCACUAAAGUUACACUUAAGAGCUGAGUGACUUCAAAAAACUAGGGACCAACUCUUUGGUUUAAUUCUGCUCUGUAAAAAGUAGCAAUGUGUACUCACUCCAGAAGACAGAAGCCCUUCCAGAAACCUUGACGUGAGGGGGAGGAAGCCCUCUUGCGCUUGCCUGUUUUUCCACUACACGUGCAGGAAGUUAGUGCCCUGAAGUGGAGGGAGCGGGCUCGUUACUCUUGAGGUUGACAGUGUCUUUUUCAACCUAUGUCCUGUGUGGUUUAGAGGGUUGGGCAAGGAGGGCAUGGGGGUGGAGAAGCCGGAUAACCAUAGAACCAGUGUACUUCGGGAACUAGUUUUCUAGGGUUUUCCUACCGGUUCAAAAUGAUAUUUAUCAUCUACGUAAUUUAUUUCUAAGAAGAGUAGCUGAACUCAAUCCACCUAUGAGAUUAUAAAACUCUCCAGAGCCAUUUGCAUUGGUCACCUCUUCAAGUUCACAGCUACACUUCUGACCGCUCCCACUCCCCUCCGGUUUUGCUGCUGAUGUCACUGUUGUUAUUGAGCUAAGCCCCCGCGGGAUUCGUAUCAUCGGGCUGACAGGAUUGUCUGUGUUUUUGCUCUUGAUCAACUCCAGCUGUCUAUCUCUGUCUUUGCUUCUGUCAAGCCACAGUUCAGUUCGUCAUCAAAUGCCUGCGGUGGUUUGGGAUAUGUGGGAACAGGAGAGAACUAGGCAGCUCAAGGGCACCUCUGCUUUCUAUGUGACAAUUGAGCACAUUGCUGCUAGCCAGAGAGGCGAGGCUGUGGGCUGGGCCCACGACGCUGCCACUCGUAAUCCAGACGUCCAGAUCGUUCGGAUAGAGCUCCAGCUACUAGACUUCUAAAAACUGUAACACAGGCUUGCUCGGUGGUUUUGUUUGUUUGUGUGGCAAGCCAACAAGGGUGCCUGGAGUAAUGGCUGAGCACAGCUACAGUCUGCCCGGACUCACUGCCAUUCCACACGCUCCAAGACCGGGGUGGCCUGGCUGGGCCUCAGCUGCGGAAAGGCUGCACCUGCUCCAGAGUCUUCCCCCGGUAGUGGCUCUCAGCUCCAGUCUGCCUGGCGAGGCUGGCUUAGCUCCAGAAGGAGGCGCUGCCCCAGGAUUGCUGAUUUUCACGCCACGCCACUUACCUGAGGUGCAUGUUCUGUAUCCCAGUGUGUGCAAGACAACACUUUCUUCAUUUCUCAGUGUCCUAGAUCCAGGGGGACAGGCGGUUAGGCAAGUCCACCCCUCCACCCCACCCCGUGCAGCCAGAGUAAGAAGAGCUGUCCUUUUCCUGAGGUAGGCCAUCUUGAUUCUGAGCUGAUUGGGGGAGUGAUGGAGGUGACCCUAGAGGUGCCUUCAAAGAUGGGCUUCAGGAGUCUUACAAAGUAGAAGGCUUGUCUGCUGGGUUGAUUUUCAUGGGGUUAUUGAAUGAGAACUGGUGGCAGUGACAGUGGCUCCAAGUUCCAGGCAGUGAGAACCCCCCUUGAGCUUUCCACAGGGUGCACCCCUGCCGGACUGCCGCGAUCUCUGAACCUCCCCACUGCCGAGCACCUAAAUAUAGUGGGUGCCAGAAGGAGACUCAGCCAGAGUAACCGAUGGCACGCUGGCAGUGGGCAGGUCUUCAAGCCUGCAGAGAUACAGAGUUCGCGUAGUUGGAAUGCACUUGGAUUUGCUUCUGAGUUUUAAUCAUGUAAUUAGGCACCAUGAACUUGGAGAAUGACGCUUGUGGUUAACAAAAUUUUCACAUAUUUGGAUACUUAAUUUUCAACACUUGUAAUACAAGAAAGUAAAGGUAUCUCCAAAAUUUUUUUCAUUCCUUAUUCAGAAGACACUGCAGGCCUGCAGUGCUUCAGUCAUCAGUAGCAAAUCCCAGGUGCUGUGCGACACAAUUAGGGCACCCUCCCACGUGCUGUGAGUGGCGAGAAUGCCCGGAGAGAUGCUUCUGGUAGAUGAGGUCCUAAACCAGCUUUCUCCAUCUGACGGCCAUGUUUCUCUGUGGCUUCUGGAUUCCGUUGUAAGAGGAAUUUUCAGAGAUUGAGAAAUCACCUUGAUUAAUCUGAUUGUCCUUCAGGGAGAUUGGUUUUAGAAACUAAAAGGACAAGGAGGACAUAGUGCUUUAAAGCUUAUGUUUGACACCCCCCCCCAGAUCUGCAGGGAGGAUGUGCAUUUGUGUCCUUGAGUGCACACACUUUGUCGCCGUACACACCCUGUUACAUCGCCCGUUAAGAACAGGGCUGGGGGCGGGUAGCGGCGCAGUGGUGAGUUGCUCUGAGUGACUGCCCCACAGCAGAGGGUCUGGGUUCAUGACCAGAGGCCUCCCUCAGUGUUAGGGGCAUGCACGUGCCCAUGAUCCAGGGCUGUCAAGGCUGGGGGUGGAUCGUGGCAUCAAGACCCUGUAUCUCUCUGUGUCUGUCUUGCUCAGAGAAGUAAUAAACCUUUUUAGAAAGCGAGGACCCAUGCUGAAGAGCAGUUGCAGCCGCAGGGCUGAUGUGUUGGCAGGAGCAGGCCGACCCUAACGAACACACAGAACCUGGCUCCUCGCAGGCCCUGCACUUGCCCUGUCUUGCAAUCCAAUUAUGUAACGACUGUCAGUGAAGUAACUCCGAUUUUCUGCCCGCUGGCAGAUAAGUUUGAACAUUUCAUGGUGGUUGACAGAACUUUGUCCUAAAACACGCUGAUUUAGAUUCUUUAGAACUCGAAGGUUAUACCAAAGGUCAAGCUGGGCAGGCGUGUGGUGCGCAGGGGCGAGGUCAGGAGUGGCGGGCACUGUGUGCACUGCCAAGGGGGCACAGGCCGCGUGGGAGUCAGCGGAACGCAGCAGUCCUGGGUGCACUACCAGUGUUGUCAGGUAUUUGUUCUUAAAUGUUACUGUAAUAUAUUUUCAGUUUUGUUUUUCUAAUUUAAUUCUCACUCUGUUGUCUGACUGUGAACUGCUAACAGUGUUAAACCUGAUGUAAAUAAACGAGGCCCUGGAAAGGCCCUGCUCUCUGCCUGUCGUCUCACAAGGUUUGCCAAGUUGUGUUUCGUUUUAAAUAAAGGUUGCAAUAUUUUAUUGGCAAA